rnacentral:rRNA from 1 species
ACACGACUACAUUAGAUACCCCGGUAGUCCCAGCCCUAAACGAUGCGCGUUAGGUGUAUCGGUGACCACGAGUCACCGAGGUGCCGAAGGGAAACCGUGAAACGUGCCGCCUGGGAAGUACGGUCGCAAGGCUGAAACUUAAAGGAAUUGGCGGGGAGCAUCACAACGGGUGGAGCCUGCGGUUUAAUUGGACUCAACGCCGGGAAGCUUACCGGAUAAGACAGCGGAAUGAUUGCCGGGCUGAAGACUCUGCAUGACCAGCUG